rnacentral:rRNA from 1 species
UGGGGAAUAUUGCACAAUGGGCGAAAGCCUGAUGCAGCAACGCCGCGUGAGUGAUGAAGGCCUUCGGGUUGUAAAGCUCUGUCUUUUGGGACGAUAAUGACGGUACCAAAGGAGGAAGCCACGGCUAACUACGUGCCAGCAGCCGCGGUAAUACGUAGGUGGCAAGCGUUGUCCGGAUUUACUGGGCGUAAAGGAUGCGUAGGCGGAUUUUUAAGUGAGAUGUGAAAACCCUAAGCUUAACUUGGGGGACUGCAUUUCAUACUGGAAAUCUAGAGUGCGGGAGAGGAGAAUGGAAUUCCUAGUGUAGCGGUGAAAUGCGUAGAGAUUAGGAAGAACACCAGUGGCGAAGGCGAUUCUCUGGACCGUAACUGACGCUGAGGCAUGAAAGCGUGGGUAGCAAACAGGAUUAGAUACCCUGGUAGUCCACGCCGUAAACGAUGAGUACUAGGUGUAGGAGGUAUCGACCCCUUCUGUGCCGCAGUUAACACAAUAAGUACUCCGCCUGGGAAGUACGAUCGCAAGAUUAAAACUUAAAUGAAUUGACGGGGUCAUAGCUGUUUCCU